CUGCUGCCUCCCGUAGGAGUUUGGGCCGUGUCUCAGUCCCAAUGUGGCCGUCCACCCUCUCAGGCCGGCUACUGAUCGUCGCCUUGGUGGGCCCCUACCCCGCCAACAAGCUAAUCAGACGCGGGUCCAUCUUACACCACCGGAGUUUUUCACACCGGGCCAUGCGGCCCUGUGCGCUUAUGCGGUAUUAGCACCUGUUUCCAGGUGUUAUCCCCCUGUGUUAAAGGCAGGUUACCCACGCGUUACUCACCCGUCCGCCACUCGAACU
rnacentral:rRNA from 1 species